GAUGAACGCUGGCGGCGUGCUUAACACAUGCAAGUCGAACGAUGAUCUCCAGCUUGCUGGGGGGAUUAGUGGCGAACGGGUGAGUAACACGUGAGUAACCUGCCCUUGACUCUGGGAUAAGCCUGGGAAACUGGGUCUAAUACUGGAUACGACCUUCCCACGCAUGUGGUGUUGGUGGAAAGCUUUUGUGGUUUUGGAUGGACUCGCGGCCUAUCAGCUUGUUGGUGGGGUAAUGGCCUACCAAGGCGACGACGGGUAGCCGGCCUGAGAGGGUGGACGGCCACACUGGGACUGAGACACGGCCCAGACUCCUACGGGAGGCAGCAGUGGGGAAUACUGCACAAUGGGCGCAAGCCUGAUGCAGCGACGCCGCGUGAGGGAUGAAGGCCUUCGGGUUGUAAACCUCUUUCAGUAGGGAAGAAGCGAAAGUGACGGUACCUGCAGAAGAAGCGCCGGCUAACUACGUGCCAGCAGCCGCGGUAAUACGUAGGGCGCAAGCGUUAUCCGGAAUUAUUGGGCGUAAAGAGCUCGUAGGCGGUUUGUCGCGUCUGCCGUGAAAGUCCGGGGCUUAACUCCGGAUCUGCGGUGGGUACGGGCAGACUUGAGUGAUGUAGGGGAGACUGGAAUUCCUGGUGUAGCGGUGAAAUGCGCAGA
rnacentral:rRNA from 1 species